rnacentral:misc_RNA from 1 species
AGAGACUCCAGAAGCUCAUCCUUGCCAUCGAUGGUUCACCUGAUCCCGAAAUUGAACUUGAUAAAGCUAUGGAAGAUGAAGCAUUUCGCAUUUUCAGCAGCAAGAUAUCAUCUAUCAUUGGCUCGAAGCCCCAAUGAUCACAGAUGGAGGAGGGAAAAAGUUUGUCCAAGACAUGUAUAUGCAUAAUCAAUGGAGCAUAAGUGAUCAGCUCAGCAGAUGCUGAUUUCAGCAAUCAACGACGCAUCUCGGAUUGUAGAUUAGCUUUGGGACGCCAUCCAAGCACUCAGCUGCAAUGUUUGAUGGCGAUAAAUGUGCUAAGUCUUGAGAUGACAUAUGAUUUUCUUGUCUUUU